AAACUAACCUUGAAAAUACUCCCCUGUUUUGAUUUUACUUAGAAGGAGUUAGUUCAAUAUAGCAGGUUUAAUUAAUUAAGAAAGAAUGGGAUGCGAAGACGACGAAACGCAUAAUAUCCAGUAUAAAAAGAAGAAGACGAAACCUUUAAGGAAACGCGAAGCUUCUCGGUUUGAGCGAGGAAGAGAAAAUGUCCAAGUAGAAAGUCGAGGAAACAAAGAUUAUUCAGAAAUUCCGUGAGAGACCGGCUGGCCGAUAUUGUUGGUUUGGCGCUCGGAGAAAGCGUUUUGUGUAAUGUGUUGUUGUGGGUAAGACACAUUUUAAUAUGAAAACCGGAGGAAAAUAUGACUAUGCUGAAGAAUACAAAAUAUAAGCUGAAUGACUCGUACGACACCAGCAGUAGAACUCGAUUUAAUAUGGAGACCAAUAAACGCGACAAAGAAAUGGUCAAUUAUGUAGAAGAAUUGUUGAAGUGCAAGAGUAAAAAUAAUAAUGAUGCAGUGAAUAGUACGAAUAAUGAUAAAGGAUUGUAUUGCUUGCCAGAGGAAACAGCAUUGCACACAGUACUAGAGUACUAGAGUACUGCAAGUUAAGCGAGAAAAUUUGAGGAGUGAUUUUAGUCUAGCAGCUGGAAUGUCGGGCAAAUUAUGUUGUAAACAAAAACUUAUGGCUUGGAGGAGAGCCAGCAUAGCCACGAUAUCUCGGCCAAUGGGUAGCACACAGGAUAUCACAAAGAUUUUUUCGUCCUGUGAUUUAUACAAAAUGCCACUGAGGCAACAAAAUUCUGUUUCCGGACAUAUGACUCGCAGGAGGUCAUCUUUCAGCUCCGAAUCACCGAAAUUGGGGAGAUCGAAAAACUAGAUCGUACCGAGUCAGUAAUAUUAUUAUGUAUUUACAUCUCUUUAUAAAUAUCUUGCACUAGGAUUUAAAAUAUCUAUUAAUCCUUACAAUACAAUCAUUAUAUGAUAUAA